rnacentral:rRNA from 1 species
GACGAACGCUGGCGGCGUGCUUAACACAUGCAAGUCGAACGGAAAGGCCCUGCUUUUGUGGGGUGCUCGAGUGGCGAACGGGUGAGUAACACGUGAGUAACCUGCCCUUGACUUUGGGAUAACUUCAGGAAACUGGGGCUAAUACCGGAUAGGAGCUCCUGCUGCAUGGUGGGGGUUGGAAAGUUUCGGCGGUUGGGGAUGGACUCGCGGCUUAUCAGCUUGUUGGUGGGGUAGUGGCUUACCAAGGCUUUGACGGGUAGCCGGCCUGAGAGGGUGACCGGCCACAUGGGGACUGAGAUACGGCCCAGACGCCUACGGGAGGCAGCAGUGGGGAAUAUUGCACAAGGGGCGGAAGCCUGAUGCAGCAACGCCGCGUGCGGGAUGACGGCCUUCGGGUUGUAAACCGCUUUCGCCUGUGACGAAGCGUGAGUGACGGUAAUGGGGAAAGAAGCACCGGCUAACUACGU